ACCAAAAAUACGAGGCAGCUAUCAGCAGUGACUCGUUUCUCUCCAUAUCGGCAAGGGAUAAUCUGAUGCACUGGUCUAAUUUCCGCUGACCCCACUGGACUUCAUUUGAAUGGCUGACUCUCAGGAACCAGUCUUUCCAUCCCUUGGUAGGACUGGGCUAGGAACGAAAGGCAUGUUUCCACAGAUCUAAGGAAAAGUUUUCAGCUCUGAAGGGAAUUCUAUUUGUCUCUGCGUUUAUUAGAUCGGUGGGAUCUGGAUUUCCUAACGGGCCGAGACAUUGGAAGUGAGGUUGAUCGGUAGGGAUUACAAUCUUAUCGGCUAAAUCCUAACAGUUUUGAGGAUGAAAGAACAAAAAGAAAAAAAAGGGUAUUCAGUAAAAGGAAUCGCGGAUGAACAAGAGCACAGCAAAAGUGCAAAAAGAAGAAGGAUGGUAGACUGACCUCAGGAACGACGAAGUUGAUGGCCAUUUCCUCGCGAGGAAGAAGAUCGAAGACUUGGAGGAUUGGUGAAGGAGGCUCUUGCUGAAGUUCUUGGAGUUUUCGGGUAAUGCCGCCACCAGGAAAGUAGAUUUCGGCUGUAAGAUGGAGAAGGAGUACCGG
rnacentral:lncRNA from 1 species